rnacentral:lncRNA from 1 species
AAUCUCAAGGAAGCUCUUUGGGAGCCAGGAUUCCCAGCACUUAGCUGGUGGGCAAAGGGGUUCAACCCCUUCCCCACACCCCACCUUCCCUCCUCCCAGUCUUCGGGAUUGCGGAGCUCCUGCCGGGAUCCAAGAGCAGGCUCUUGGAGGUCGAAGAAGGAUAUAACCUCCAGACCUGGAAUUUAAGACGCAAGAACCAGCCAGCAAAAGUGGCAGCCGAGCAUGCGAGGGACUGCUGAUGGCUUUUUAUUAGGAAGCUAUGCAACUUGAGGUUCUACUGAAAAGGAGAAGAGGCCACUGGAGAUGGGAAGCCACGAAAACGGACGAGAAACUACAGCAUUACUUCUGCAGAUUCACAAAGGAGUCCACGUUCCAAGAUGAGAGAAAUACCAGAAGCCGAUGGCUAUUCUACUUGACUGAAUGAAAAGAAAAGGAAGGCACUUCCUGUCAAUCCUGCUUUGGAUUCCUAGACAGUUUAAGAAGCACCAUUGAUCUGAUCAUUGGCACUGAGGAGGAAAUGCCCAUCCGCAGAAGACAUGCAGGGCUCAACCCAGCUUGACAUGGGCAGUGAGUGGUUUCUGAUGUAACCCUUUCUGUAAACUACCCCCUCACACACAUGUAAACCCCUGCUUCCUCCUUUAAGUAGCCACAUUGGUGGUGCCUCUGUUGUAAGGUUACAGGGGAGAAUGACUAGACAGUAGUGAGGAAAGCAUUUGGGAAGGUGAUUCGUUUCUGUUUUUCUGGUACUCUCCCAAAACAGGAGAUACUCUUGUUGCAUAGAUGCAGUCAGUGGUUUCUUGCAGUCAGUGGUUUCUUGGAUUUGGGGAGUUAAAAGUCAUGUGACACAGGCCUAUUGACACAUCGAUGUGAGGAGUUUAAGGUAAUGCUGCUGUGAUUGAGAAGAAUCGCCCCAGUAAAGCUUUAGCAUGAAGCCAAGCAGCUUAUAAUGACACAGGAUUCUCAAUGAAUGAAGUUUUAAGGGAUAAAAUCUUUACAAUGAAAUAAAAACAAUCUUAAGAAAACGAUUAGGCUCUAGUAAAAAUAAGCUGUGUUUUAAGAGUGGUUUCUAUAUUCAGCGUUAUUAUCCUUCACUUAUACUCAGAUAAAUAUGUUAUGCUCAAGCUGGCUCAUAGUCUUCAGAAAUAAGAAUGGACAUUAUACUUUGAUGUAAUAUCAACAUGUUGCAUAUACAAAGUAAACACUUUUGGUGAUAAAAAA